UACGUAGGGUGCAAGCGUUAAUCGGAAUUACUGGGCGUAAAGCGUGCGCAGGCGGUUAUGUAAGACAGAUGUGAAAUCCCCGGGCUUAACCUGGGAACUGCAUUUGUGACUGGCGGGCUAGAGUAUGGCAGAGGGGGGUAGAAUUCCACGUGUAGCAGUGAAAUGCGUAGAGAUGUGGAGGAAUACCGAUGGCGAAGGCAGCCCCCUGGGCCAAUACUGACGCUCAUGCACGAAAGCGUGGGGAGCAAACAGG
rnacentral:rRNA from 1 species